UAUGACCUAUUGAACCUACUAGUCCCCUUCAUAGCUGUUGGCAAUUUCUAUGCUCUAGGUAGGUAUUACUGCUGUGAUGGCCUGUACCUUUUUUUUCUCAAAACUCUAUCUAGAUAUUGCAUUUGCAGCCUGAUUCUCCUUUUCUUUUUUGUAGUGUAUUAUAUAAUCCAAUCCCAUGAGUUUCAAUAUCUCUUUUUACUAAGCUGCAGUGGUUAUUUUCUAUUUUAAUAAGUAUUUGAGACUCUGGUGGUCAGUUUUGAUGAUGAAUGGUCGGGGGCU
rnacentral:lncRNA from 1 species